AGAGUUUGAUCAUGGCUCAGAAUGAACGUUGGCGGCGUGGAUUAGGCAUGCAAGUCGAGCGAGAACCCCGCAAGGGGGGAAAGCGGCGAAAGGGACAGUAAUACGUAGAUUAUCUGCCCUCGGGUCCGGGAUAGCUGCGGGAAACUGCAGGUAAUACCGGAUAACAUCUGCGGAUCAAAGGUGUGAUUCCGCCCGAGGAUGAGUCUGCGUCCUAUUAGCUUGUUGGUAGGGUAACGGCCUACCAAGGCAAUGAUGGGUAGCGGGUGUGAGAGCACGACCCGCGUCACUGGGACUGAGACACUGCCCAGACACCUACGGGUGGCUGCAGUCGAGGAUCUUCGGCAAUGGGCGCAAGCCUGACCGAGCGACGCCGCGUGCGGGAUGAAGGCUUUCGGGUUGUAAACCGCUGUCAGAGGGGAUGAAAUGUAGGUGGGUUCUCCCAUCUAUUUGACAUAGCCUCAGAGGAAGUACGGGCUAAGUUCGUGCCAGCAGCCGCGGUAAUAC
rnacentral:rRNA from 1 species